rnacentral:rRNA from 1 species
GAUUAACGCUGGCGGCGUGCAUAACACAUGCAAGUCGAACGAUGAAACUUUAAUGACCCCUUCGGGGAGAAUUAAAGCGGAUUAGUGGCGAACGGGUGAGUAACGCGUGAGUAACCUGCCUUACACAAGGGGAUAGCCUUUGGAAACGAAGAAUAAUACCCUAUAAAACCAUAAAAGCACAUGCAAUAAUGGUCAAAGUGAUAGCGGUGUAAGAUGGACUUGCGUCUGAUUAGCUAGUUGGUGAGAUAAAAGCCCACCAAGGCAACGAUCAGUAGCCGGCUUGGGAGAGUGUACGGCCACAUUGGGACUGAGACACGGCCCAGACUCCUACGGGAGGCAGCAGUGGGGAAUUUUGCACAAUGGGGGAAACCCUGAUGCAGCGACGCCGCGUGAUUUAGAAGGCCUUCGGGUUGUAAAAAUCUUUUGUAUAGGAAGAAAAUGACAGUACUAUACGAAUAAGGUCCGGCUAAUUACGUG